UACGUAGGGUGCGAGCGUUGCCCGGAUUUAUUGGGCGUAAAGGGCGCGUAGGCGGCCAGACAGGUCCGUUGUGAAAACUCGAGGCUCAACCUCGAGACGUCGAUGGAAACCGUCUGGCUAGAGUCCGGAAGAGGAGAGUGGAAUUCCUGGUGUAGCGGUGAAAUGCGCAGAUAUCAGGAAGAACACCUAUGGCGAAGGCAGCUCUCUGGGACGGUACUGACGCUGAGACGCGAAAGCGUGGGGAGCGAACAGG
rnacentral:rRNA from 1 species